GAUGUAGCUCAGUGGUAGAGUGCUUGCCUACCAUGCAUAAGGCCUUGGGCUCAAUCCCCAGCACA
rnacentral:tRNA from 1 species